AUUGAACGCUGGCGGCAGGCCUAACACAUGCAAGUCGAGCGGUAGCACAGGGAGCUUGCUCCUGGGUGACGAGCGGCGGACGGGUGAGUAAUGUCUGGGAAACUGCCUGAUGGAGGGGGAUAACUACUGGAAACGGUAGCUAAUACCGCAUAACGUCGCAAGACCAAAGAGGGGGACCUUCGGGCCUCUUGCCAUCUGAUGUGCCCAGAUGGGAUUAGCUAGUAGGUGGGGUAACGGCUCACCUAGGCGACGAUCCCUAGCUGGUCUGAGAGGAUGACCAGCCACACUGGAACUGAGACACGGUCCAGACUCCUACGGGAGGCAGCAGUGGGGAAUAUUGCACAAUGGGCGCAAGCCUGAUGCAGCCAUGCCGCGUGUAUGAAGAAGGCCUUCGGGUUGUAAAGUACUUUCAGCGGGGAGGAAGGCGAUAAGGUUAAUAACCUUGUCGAUUGACGUUACCCGCAGAAGAAGCACCGGCUAACUCCGUGCCAGCCGCCGCGGUAACAC
rnacentral:rRNA from 1 species